rnacentral:rRNA from 1 species
GGUGAAUGCUAGCGGUGCGCCUAACACAUGCAAGUCGAACGGCACCCACCUCCGGGUGGAAGCGAGUGGCGAACGGCUGAGUAACACGUGGAGAACCUGCCCCCUCCCCCGGGAUAGCCGCCCGAAAGGACGGGUAAUACCGGAUACCCCGGGGUGCCGCAUGGCACCCCGGCUAAAGCCCGACGGGAGGGGAUGGCUCCGCGGCCCAUCAGGUAGACGGCGGGGUGACGGCCCACCGUGCCGACAACGGGUAGCCGGGUUGAGAGACCGACCGGCCAGAUUGGGACUGAGACACGGCCCAGACUCCUACGGGAGGCAGCAGGGGGGAAUCUUGCGCAAUGGGGGGAACCCUGACGCAGCGACGCCGCGCGCGGGACGGAGGCCUUCGGGUCGUAAACCGCUUUCAGCAGGGAAGAGUCAAGACUGUACCUGCAGAAGAAGCCCCGGCUAACCACGUGCCAGCCGCCGCCGUAA